rnacentral:tRNA from 3 species
AGUUGCGUGGUCUAAUGGUUAUGAUUUCUCAUUCACACUGAGAAGGUUCCCGGUUCGAUCCCGGGCGCGACUA